AGAGUUUGAUCCUGGCUCAGAACGAACGCUGGCGGCAGGCUUAACACAUGCAAGUCGAACGCAUCCUUCGGGGUGAGUGGCAGACGGGUGAGUAACGCGUGGGAACGUGCCCUUCAGUUCGGGAUAACCCAGGGAAACUUGGGCUAAUACCGGAUACGUGCGAGAGCAGAAAGAUUGAUCGCUGAAGGAUCGGCCCGCGUCUGAUUAGCUGGUUGGUGAGGUAAUGGCUCACCAAGGCGACGAUCAGUAGCUGGUCUGAGAGGAUGAUCAGCCACAUUGGGACUGAGACACGGCCCAAACUCCUACGGGAGGCAGCAGUGGGGAAUAUUGGACAAUGGGCGCAAGCCUGAUCCAGCCAUGCCGCGUGAGUGAUGAAGGCCUUAGGGUUGUAAAGCUCUUUCGUCCGGGACGAUAAUGACGGUACCGGAAGAAGAAGCCCCGGCUAACUUCGUGCCAGCAGCCGCGGUAAUACGAAGGGGGCUAGCGUUGUUCGGAAUCACUGGGCGUAAAGGGCGCGUAGGCGGCUUUAUAAGUCGGGGGUGAAAGCCUGUGGCUCAACCACAGAAUUGCCUUCGAUACUGUAGAGCUUGAGACCGGAAGAGGUAAGUGGAACUGCGAGUGUAGAGGUGAAAUUCGUAGAUAUUCGCAAGAACACCAGUGGCGAAGGCGGCUUACUGGUCCGGUUCUGACGCUGAGGCGCGAAAGCGUGGGGAGCAAACAGGAUUAGAUACCCUGGUAGUCCACGCCGUAAACGAUGAAUGCCAGCCGUUGGGCAGCUUGCUGCUCAGUGGCGCAGCUAACGCUUUAAGCAUUCCGCCUGGGGAGUACGGUCGCAAGAUUAAAACUCAAAGGAAUUGACGG
rnacentral:rRNA from 1 species